UACGAAGGGGGGCUAGCGUUGCUCGGAAUGACUGGGCGUAAAGGGCGCGUAGGCGGAUGGCACAGUCAGAUGUGAAAUUCCCGGGGCUUAACCUGGGGGCUGCAUUUGAUACGUGUUGUCUUGAGUUCGGAAGAGGGUCGUGGAAUUCCCAGUGUAGAGGUGAAAUUCGAUAGAUAUUGGGAAGAACACCGGUGGCGAAGGCGGCGACCUGGUCCGACACUGGACGCUGAGGCGCGAAAGCGUGGGGAGCAAACAGGAAUUGAGAAACCCGUUGGUAGUCCAAGACCAAGAUCCUUCC
rnacentral:rRNA from 1 species